AUUGAACGCUGGCGGCAUGCUUUACACAUGCAAGUCGAACGGCAGCGCGGGCUUCGGCCUGGCGGCGAGUGGCGAACGGGUGAGUAAUGCAUCGGAACGUGCCCAGUAGUGGGGGAUUGCCCGGCGAAAGCCGGAUUAAUACCGCAUACGACCUGAGGGUGAAAGCGGGGGACCGAAAGGCCUCGCGCUAUUGGAGCGGCCGAUGUCGGAUUAGCUAGUUGGUGGGGUAAAGGCUUACCAAGGCGACGAUCCAUAGCUGGUCUGAGAGGACGACCAGCCACACUGGGACUGAGACACGGCCCAGACUCCUACGGGAGGCAGCAGUGGGGAAUUUUGGACAAUGGGGGCAACCCUGAUCCAGCCAUGCCGCGUGCGGGAAGAAGGCCUUCGGGUUGUAAACCGCUUUUGUUCGGGAAGAAAUCCUCUGGGCUAAUACCCCGGGGGGAUGACGGUACCGGAAGAAUAAGCACCGGCUAACUACGUG
rnacentral:rRNA from 1 species